UCUAAUAUACAUAUAUGUACAGAAGUAUAAACAUAUAUUUCAAAAUAGUUUUCGCUAUAUAUUUGUACGUUGGUAUAUAAAAAUACGCCCAUGGGUGAAAUUGAGUUUUCGCGCACGGUGUGACUUUCACAAAGCUAAUUUCAAAAAAUAAUUUUUUGACAAAAUUAUAUGCAAAAGUAUGCCAAUAUUUGGCUGCUCAUAUACUAAAAACGUGUUAGUUUAGAAACCUAAAUGGCAAAGUUUUUUAAAUACCAAUAUACCACAAAAUACGUUUAAAUACUGUGACUCAUACUUUUCAUUCAUUUCAUGGAUUUAUUUAACAAACUGCAAAUGUGGUAUAUUGUAGUACUGACGUCAUGAGUGUAAGUAAAUUUCAUACUUUUGGUAAAUUUAAAUCUUUUUCACUGUAUAAAUACUUUUCUUAAAUAAAUCUUAAACUUUUACCUAAAAUUUUUACUCAACUUGAACACUGUGCGCCGCGAACAAGUGCAUUGCCCAUAAUCCUCUGCCGUCGCGUAUGCCGUUAGUAGCAGGCUGUUAACAAAUUUCACUUUACAUCUGCCUAUCUGGUGUUAUUGUUGUUGCUGCUCUUCUCACACAUAGCCUGCAACCCCCAGGCCGUCUGUUCAAAAGUAUAGGAAUGGUGGGCAGUGGCUGUGCGGCUUUGUGGGCUCGUCGGUCGACAUUGGCGGCAAUGCAUUGCCAGUCGCAUUUUUACAGUCGAAGCGAAAAGAAGUUCAGCGCGGGCUGUUGGGAGAGAACAUAAAUAUUUAACAUGUCUUUCGAAACGUUUGGUUUUAACUGGGCCUUCUUUGUAGAAGAUUGCGGAGCCAUGUUAAAAAACUUAACCUACAAUGACAAAAUUGUGCAAAAAUAUAAUCGCUUUUGGUGAGAUGGUCAGCGCAAUUGGUUUUUGGAAGAAGUCAAUGAUGGUUCCAGCUUAGCCGGCGGCAUUUUCAGGCUUUCAUGCAAUGCGAACCGACGUUGCUGUUGUCAAAGCACCAGAACAAUGCAGAGGAAAAUGAAACAAUGAAGUAUGCAUUUGGUUUAGAACAGUGUGGACUUAAAGCUAUUACAAAUGGAAUAUUAUCCUAUUACUUGUAUAUGAAUAUGUGCUUUUAGUUAUUUUGUUGUUUAUUUGUGCAAUACUACAGGCCGGAAAGAAAAUUGUACUAAAAAUAUAUAAAGAUAAUAAUACUACAUAUAUGUAACAAUUUUAGUGGGUUAAGUAAGCGCAAAAGUGCAAAGCUGUAAGUUUUAAGCAACUAGCGCAGACUGCGUCUUGGAAUCAAAUAUAUUUACAUUAUUUUCGUUCAAAAAUAAAUUAUAUUGAUAAAAAAGAAAAUACAA